AACGAACGCUGGCGGCAUGCCUAACACAUGCAAGACGAACGGUAAGUUGAGUAGCAAUACUUAGCCAAGAGUGUCGUACGGGUGCGUAACACGUAUGCAACCUACCCUAUACAGGAGGAUAGCCUAGGGAAACCUGGAUUAACCCUUCAUAGUAUUAUUGGAUGGCAUCAUUUGAUAAUUAAAACUGAGGUGGUAUAGGAUGGGCAUGCGUCUGAUUAGUUAGUUGGCGGGGUAAUGGCCCACCAAGACGAUGAUCAGUAGGGGUUCUGAGAGGAAGAUCCCCCACACUGGCACUGAGAUACGGGCCAGACUCCUACGGGAGGCAGCAGUAGGGAAUAUUGGUCAAUGGAUGCAAGUCUGAACCAGCCAUGCCGCGUGCAGGAAGAAGGCCUUUCUGGGUUGUAAACUGCUUUUGCCAGGGGAUAAAAUUUCCAUGCGUGGAAAACUGAAGGUACCUGGUGAAUAAGCCACGGCUAACUACGUGCCAGCAGCCGCGGUAAUC
rnacentral:rRNA from 1 species